UCGAAUGAGGCAAGACUACCCGCUGAACUUAAGCAUAUCAAUAAGCGGAGGAAAAGAAACUAACAAGGAUUCCCCUAGUAACGGCGAGUGAAGCGGGAAGAGCUCAAAUUUGAAAUCUGGUGGCCUCAGGUCAUCCGAGUUGUAAUCUAUAGAAGUGUUUUCCGUGCUGGCUCAUGUACAAGUCCCUUGGAACAGGGCGUCAUAGAGGGUGAGAAUCCCGUCCUUGACAUGAACUACCAGUGCUCUGUGAUACAUUUUCAACGAGUCGAGUUGUUUGGGAAUGCAGCUCAAAAUGGGUGGUAAAUUCCAUCUAAAGCUAAAUAUUGGCGAGAGACCGAUAGCGAACAAGUACCGUGAGGGAAAGAUGAAAAGCACUUUGGAAAGAGAGUUAAACAGUAUGUGAAAUUGUUGAAAGGGAAACGAUUGAAGUCAGUCGUGCUCUUUGGAUUCAGCCGGUUCUGCCGGUGUACUUCCUUUGAGUGGGGUCAACAUCAGUUUUGAUCGCUGGAUAAAGGCUGGAGGAACGUAGUACCCUCGGGUAAACUUAUAGCCUCCUGUCACAUACAGUGGUUGGGACUGAGGAACGCAGCACGCCUUUAUGGCCGGGAUUCGUCCACGUACGUGCUUAGGAUGUUGACAUAAUGGCUUUAAACGACCCGUCUUGUAACACGGACCAAGGAGUCUAACAUAUCUGCGAGUAUUUGGGUGUCAAACCCAAGUGCGCAAUGAAAGUGAAUGUAGGAGGGAUCCGCAAGGAGCACCUUCGACCGAUCUGGAUCUUUAGUGAUGGAUUUGAGUAAGAGCAUAUAUGUUGGGACCCGAAAGAUGGU
rnacentral:rRNA from 1 species